rnacentral:rRNA from 1 species
UACGUAGGGGGCUAGCGUUGUCCGGAAUCACUGGGCUUAAAGCGUGUGUAGGCGGAUGUCUAAGUACCUUGUGAAAUCCCAUGGCUCAACCGUGGAACUGCUGGGUAUACUGGAUGUCUUGAGCCAGCUAGGGGCUACCGGAACAAAUGGUGGAGCGGUGAAAUGCGUAGGUAUCGGGAGGAACACCUGUGGCGAAGGCGGCCACCUGGUUGGAUACUGACGCUGAGACGCGAAAGCGUGGGGAGCAAACAGG